AUGCCUUCCAUGGCCACUGAGGAUUUAGAGCAGCAGUAUGGCCAUGGCCGCAAGCGCACUGAUCAUGAAGAUGAAGGCGACGACUCGAAACUGUACGAGUUCAAGGAGCAGAUCUUGCUUCUGUCGACUCUGGUGGCGACGGUGACGUACGUCGCCGGGCUGAACCUGCCGGGUGGGUCCUGGGAGCAGGACAACCCGGAAGGGCGCAUGGCCGGCGAUCCGAUCCUACGGGAUACCCAUUACCGUCGGUACCUUUCCUUCUACUACUGCAACGCCACCGCGCUCGCCGCGUCGCUCGUGGUCUCCCUCAUCGUCAUCGUCCUGCCGAAGAAGAAGCAUUACUGGACAGUGGCGCUGCGGAUGGUGAUGAUGCUCGACCUACUCGGCCUCAUGGGAGCCUACGGUGCUGGGAGCUGCCGGGAUGCAUUCACAACCAUCUAUGCGGUGGUAAUCUUCUCCUCUUUGGUGUUGAUCAUCAUCUUUGUUUUCCUCUACGUCUGGUGCACGGCCAAGGUCAGUACCACCACCAAUGGAGAUGGUGUGGUCCCUGACUCUAACCCCACCGCCAAUGGGAACGGUGGGAUCCCUGAGUCCAACGGCACCAGCAAUGGGGAUGGUCGGGUCCCUGACUCCAGUGGUGAUGAUGAUAAGGUCCACUCCAACUCCACUUCCAAAGCCAUGAAGCGACUCAAGAUGUUGCUCAAAAUAAAGCGAGCCAAGACGAAGAUGCACGUGUUGAUUGUACUCACAGACCCCGCCAGGAAACGAGCUGAGAAGGAGCAGAUCAAUGUGUUAAUGUUACUGGCAACCUUCGCAGUCACCAUCACAUAUGUCGCCGGGCUGAGCCCACCUGGUGGGUUCUGGACCAGCACCCAAGACGGGCACCGUUUGAGCGACCCGGUGUUACAAGCCCGUGGCCGGUACCGUUCCUUCUUCGUUUGCAACACCACUUCGUUCGCUGUGUCCCUGCUCAUCAUCGUGCUGCUCUUGGAGAGGAAGCUGCUCAAGGAGAAGCUGAGCAAGAACUUCAUGUUCACUGUAGGAUGGUUCAAGGUAGGAUUGGCGGCGCCCUACGUGUUGAUCGCUGUUGCUCUGUUGGGCCUUAUGGGGGCCUAUGCUGCCGGGGGCUGCAGGGAGUCUGACAAUACCGCUCUUGUCCUUGCGGUCCCUGCCGGCGUAUGCCUACUGCUGGGGUUUGUUACUUACUACAAAAAUGGUUGGAAACUACUCACGGACAAGCUUCAUGAUGUUUCAACGCGCUUCAGGAAGCUGGUUGGCAUUCCUUCAGGCACCUGCCGAGGCACGAAUGAACUACACCAACAGAACACCCGCUAUCUUGUUAUGCUCCUUGCUACUCUUGUGGUGACCAUCACAUAUCAAGCAGGACUAGAUCCACCCGGAGGCCUUUGGCUAGAUAACCGGGAUGGGCACAAGAUCAGCCACCCAGUCCUCCAAAUGACACAUCCUACUCGGUAUAGAGUGUUCUUCUAUAGCAACUCGGCAGCUUUCGUCACAUCCUUGGUCGUCAUCAUGAUGCUCCAGAGCAAGUUUCUGCUCAACCGGCACACACUGGAAGCAACCCUGGUGCUGGACCUAUUCGGCCUCGUUACUGCCUAUGGUGCUGGGAGCACUAGGGAUGUAAACACAUCCAUCUAUAUCGUCGCCCUGGCAGGGCUCGUCCUCGUCUACGUGAUAGUGCAUAUCACCAUAAGAGACCAUGCACCUGAGCCAGCGGGUGAUCAUGCAGUAAAGGAUCUGGAUGACAAGCGCAAGGUGCUGCUGCUGGUUGCUAUCUUGGCUGCUACCCUCACCUACCAAGCUGGCCUCACCCCACCUGGUGGCUUCUGGUUAGUGGAUGACCGAGAGCUUGGUCGCCGUGCAGGUUUCCCAAUCCUGCAUGACAAUUACCCUCGCCGUUACAAUGCAUUCUUCUACUGCAAUGCGACAAGCUUCAUGGCGUCUAUAACCCUCAUUCUUCUUCUCGUCAAUCCGAAGCUAUACAGGCCAGGUAUACGUUGUUAUGCGCUCUACGUAUGCAUGUUGGUGGGUAUGUUUGGCCUCAUGGGUGCCUAUGCUUCUGGAAGCUCUCGACAACUCAAAACAUCCAUCUAUGUAUUAACCUUGGUUGGCAUGGUCCUAGUCUUUAUAGCCUCCCUAGUAGCCAUUUUCUGGUUCAUCAUCAAAUCCCGAGCUCGUAGACAUAGGCAAGAUGAAGCAGUUCAUAGCAAUGGUGGCAUGAAAAUCAUCAGCAACACCAGUACUAGAACCAUCAUUAGCACUAGUGCCGCCACCGCCACCACUACCACAACCACCAUCACCAUCACCACCACCACCACCCGCAGCAUCAGCAGCGACAACUCAACCAGCAGCAGUACCAACAGCAGCAACAGAGAGAAAGAAACCGUUGAAUACUUGAUGUUGCUAGGAAUCCUGGGUGCAAGUAUGACAUACCAGGUUGGCCUAAAACCACCAGGAGGUCUGUGGCAAGACAACAACAACGAACACUUUGCUGGCUACCCCGUCCUCCACGACAUCAACAAGCAUCGGUACGCUGUUUUCUUCUACAGCAACUCCACUUCCUUCAUGGCCUCAGUCGUUGUUAUUGUCCUGCUCCUUCCAUGGACGACAUUAUUCCAGAAACGCAAACCGCCACUCUGGCUAAUGCAUAUUGCCAUUUUGCUGGACAUGGUUGGUCUCCUAGUGGCCUACGCAGCAGGCAGUACUAGGAAAUGGGGAGCAUCCAAAAACGUCAUAUUCCUUGUCAUCCCUGUGUUAGCCUACAUCGCAUUCUACGCAUUAGCGUCAGUGUUCUUCCGCAGAGAAAACGGAAGUUGGUGGAAACGCUUGGCUUCCUGGUGGUUUAGGAAACCAGCAGUACUAGGAAGUAGGAAGGGUGCAAAUAUGUCCUCAUCAUCCGGAUGUUGCCCUACAGAGUCUUCUUCUGUGGGAAUUACCAAAGUGGCGAUAUCAAGCCCUGUAUAA
rnacentral:rRNA from 1 species